UCGAGAAUAGUCUACAAUGGGGGAAACCCUGAUAGUGCGACGCCGCGUGGAUGAAGAAGCGCUUCGGUGUGUAAAAUCCUUUUCUUUGUGAGCAAAGCCAAUAAGGUGAACAGUUUUAUUGGUAAGAUAUUAGCAGAGGAAUAAGCUCCGGCUAACUCCGUGCCAGCAGCCGCGGUAACACGGGGGGAGCAAGCGUUGUCCGGAAUUACUAGGCGUAAAGGGCAAGUAGGCGGAAUAAUUAGUCAGAAGUUAAAGGCGUCGGCUCAACCGGCGUAUGGCAUUUGAUACUGUUAUUCUAGAGUAAGGUGGGGGAAGACGGAAUUCCUGGUGUAGCGGUGGAAUGCGGAGAUAUCAGGAAGAACACCGGUGGCGAAGGCGGUCUUCUAUACCAUUACUGACGCUCAAUUGCGAAGGUGUGGGUAUCGAACAGGAUUAGAUACCCUGGUAGUCCACACAGUAAACGAUAUGUACUAGGUGUUGGGGGAGAUGAUCUUUCAGUGCCGCAGCUAACGCGUUAAGUACAUCGCCUGGGGAGUACGAUCGCAAGGUUA
rnacentral:rRNA from 1 species